CCUACGCGGCUGCAGUGGGGAAUAUUGCACAAUGGGCGCCAGCCUGAUGCAGCCAUGCCGCGUGUGUGAAGAAGGCCUUCGGGUUGUAAAGCACUUUCAGCGGGGAGGAAGGCGUUAAGGUUAAUAACCUUGGCGAUUGACGUUACCCGCAGAAGAAGCACCGGCUAACUCCGUGCCAGCAGCCGCGGUAAUACGGAGGGUGCAAGCGUUAAUCGGAAUUACUGGGCGUAAAGCGCACGCAGGCGGUCUGUCAAGUCGGAUGUGAAAUCCCCGGGCUCAACCUGGGAACUGCAUUCGAAACUGGCAGGCUAGAGUCUUGUAGAGGGGGGUAGAAUUCCAGGUGUAGCGGUGAAAUGCGUAGAGAUCUGGAGGAAUACCGGUGGCGAAGGCGGCCCCCUGGACAAAGACUGACGCUCAGGUGCGAAAGCGUGGGGAGCAAACAGGAUUAGAUACCCCAGUAGUC
rnacentral:rRNA from 1 species